rnacentral:lncRNA from 1 species
CAGGGUCCAGGGGGUCUGGUUUUAUAGUCCCCUCAAGUGAAUGUGAGCCAUUGGAUCAAACCAACAUUGAUUGGACGGUUAUCCUUGAUCCUUUAGGUCGGUGGAACAUCGUCUGUGAAAAGAGUCCUGAUCCAACUCCAGGAAGGGGCGGGCGCCCAGGUCAACUGGGCGGGCGCCUAGUGCCUGGCCCCGUUCAGCCUCCGCUUCCUUCCCGUGGCUUCUGGAGUCUUCUAGAUGGUAGAAAAUUGCGCGGUGCGUUGAUAUCUCUAUGUAAUCCCGACAUGUGGCCCUUUCUUCCUUAUUUCCUGAUAACCCCCUGCAGAAAUAGAUAAACAAUAAAACUCGUGGAAUUCUGUCAGAUCAAACCCUAAUUCUAAGUGUUGUUUGCAUAUUGGUCCUUUCUCUUGUUUAUUUGAUAACUAAAAUUGAUACUUAAGAACCGUCAACAAUAACAAUGGUGAAAGUCUAAUUCUACUUAUGCUCUUUUGAGGGGAUACAUAACAUUCUUGCUCUUUGAAUCUUUUUGAGGAAAAUGAGAUAAUCUAUAUUUUCUUUUUCAUUCCUCUCAGGUGGGUAUCUUGUACCCCUAAUUCUAGUGUCGGACACUUGUCCAUUUUUACCUCUCGUCUCACUUUUUCUUUUCUUUCGAGGUUCCGGGCACUUGCCCCUUUUUAUUUCCUCGUAUCCUUUCUUUUUUUCUUUUUUUUAGAGCACUCAUCUCCUGAAAUAAUAUAGCAAGUGGUAGUAACCAAGACAACUUGAGCAUUUAUUUCACAGGAAAAAAACGGAAAUGUUUUUGGCUAUUCUCUCCCGGAUUAGGAGUAGAAUAUUUUUGGGUGGCUCUGGAGAUGGAAAUGAGUAUAUAUGUGGAUGCAUACUUCCAGAGUAGAAGCAGCAUGUGUGAGUGAACGUGCAAGUGAAUCUUGAUUUUAACCACAUGACAAGCUCCUAAGGGUCUACACAGCUUGACCACACUCAAUGCUCAUAAGUAGUAAAGUAAAUGUGUGGCUCAAAGUCUAGCAAGCAUGUAUAUAUGGCUGUGGUAGGAAUUUAAACUCUCAUCUUGCAAGAACUCAUCAUGUGAUAUUUUAAAGAUUUUCAAAGAUAAAAUUCUCCAGAAUUCUAGCAUCUCUAGGAAUAGAUAAACAGCAGCUCAACCUUCCCAUAUCAUAUCCGUUAACAAAUUAGAAUUUAGAUCAAGUUCUCUUCCCACAAUUUCAGGUUUAGAGCAAGCUUUAGAUUAUAACAGUUAUGUCUAAACUUGAGAGAGAACUUCAAAUUUGAAAAAUUAUGCAGAGCAACUAUUCAUCAUAUCCAUGCUAGAGUUUUAUUAAUAUUCAGUUUAGCAUAGCCACUUUAUUUAUUUAUUAAGCACACUAAGAAAAAGACAUAUAUAUAUAUAAGCACAAAAUCUUUAUUUGGUUUUUCAUGUUUAUGUAUAUUUUUAUUAUAGUAUAAGUAUAAAUGUAGAUAGAAAUACUUAGCGGGAUAAAUGGGGGUGCUCUCCCCCAAGCUGGAUUUUGACGUAAUUUCUUGUGAUGUAGCUAGCAGGUGGCAGAGGUGUAUUUGAAUGUCGGUAGCACCCUGACAACGAUUAGAAUGUCCUCCAUCUGCUAGUCUUCUUGAUCCUUGAAUUCUGUGGAGCUCAAAUAAACAACAAAGCUUUGUGGAACUAGUUAAGUGUUCGCAUAAGUAUCUAGCCUUUAUCAUGUUGUGCCUCCUCAAUAAAUGUUACUCUCUUUGGUAGGAACACAAUCUUAUUUUUAUAUUUUCAUUUUUAUAGAGCAGAAGAAUAUUUAUGCCACCACGGUGAUUGUACUUAUGAGUUUUAUGCCACUUGUAUACUCACAUGGGGCUUACUGGUUUCAACAAUUUAUUUUCUUUUUAGGAUAGUACGAACAUGAUUAACUAAGAAAACUAUUUAAAUAAUUGAAAGGAAAAGGAUAACUACCAAGUUUACCUCUUGGCAAGGCGUUCGGUGUUUUUAAGUCCUCCGAACAGGACUCUCCGUUUUUUCAGUCGUCCUGGGAUUCGCUCGAUGGCGUAGUCGGUGUUGGCGUCGCCUCCUCUUCGUGUAUAACUAUCUUCUCUCUCCACACCUGACUCAGUGCUACGGUCUCUUUAGGACAAUUCUAUUCAAGUUGUAUGUCUUCAGACCUUACCACUUCUCCUUCGUAGUCUGCCCAUCCAUCCUUGAUGAUUUCCCUCCUCUGGUUGCGGUUGCGUCGUCUUCUUCUUGUCCUAACCUGCUUAGAGUCUUCAACUAUAUAGUUAGAGUCAGUAAAAUAGCGAUGUACCUUCUUCGAGGGGAAGUGCAUGUGGACUUCUCCAGUUCUAAUGUAGAUGUUUGCUUUAACGGUGCUG